CCUUCGAUAGCUCAGUUGGUAGAGCGGGGGACUGUAGAUUUAUAAUUGUGAUCCCUAGGUCGCUGGUUCGAAUCCGGCUCAAAGUA
rnacentral:tRNA from 2 species